AAUCUGACUUUUGGACUAGAAAGUUGUUGCCUUGAUAAUAAACUUGAUUUGUUUCUAUACUAUGUACAAAUGUUAUGUUCUAUGGGUCUUUGUCUUCCUUGUAUCUGUCCCUACUGGCCAUGGGUGCUUUUACCUCCGUUUAGACAUCAUUCACUGGACUAACAUACGAACUGUAAUGAAAUAUAACAAUGUAUUGUUCAAAGUUAAGUGAACUGUUAGCCCCUUAGGGUAUCAUCAGUCUAGGCCAGUAGC
rnacentral:lncRNA from 1 species